rnacentral:rRNA from 1 species
UAAAACUCUGUUGUUGGAGAAGAAUGGUCGGCAGAGUAACUGUUGCCGGCGUGACGGUAUCCAACCAGAAAGCCACGGCUAACUACGUGCCAGCAGCCGCGGUAAUACGUAGGUGGCAAGCGUUAUCCGGAUUUAUUGGGCGUAAAGCGAGCGCAGGCGGUUUUUUAAGUCUGAUGUGAAAGCCCUCGGCUUAACCGAGGAAGUGCAUCGGAAACUGGGAAACUUGAGUACAGAAGAGGACAGUGGAACUCCAUGUGUAGCGGUGAAAUGCGUAGAUAUAUGGAAGAACACCAGUGGCGAAGGCGGCUGUCUGGUCUGUAACUGACGCUGAGGCUCGAAAGCAUGGGUAGCGAACAGGAUUAGAUACCCUGGUAGUCCAUGCCGUAAACGAUGAAUGCUAGGUGUUGGAGGGUUUCCGCCUUCAGUGCCGCAGCUAACGCAUUAAGCAUUCCGCCUGGGGAGUACGACCGCAAGGUUGAAACUCAAAGGAAUUGACGAGGGUCGAC